rnacentral:rRNA from 1 species
CAAUAGCGUAUAUUUAAGUUGUUGCAGUUAAAAAGCUCGUAGUUGGAUUUCGGGUUGGCUUCAGCGGUCUCGCUUUGCGUUUGUACUGCCGCAGCCUUCCUUCUUGCUGGGGACGGUCCUCCGGGCUUCAUUGCUUGGGGUCUGGAAUCAGCGACGUUACUUUGAGUAAAUUAGAGUGUUCAAAGCAAGCCUACGCUCUGAAUAUAAUAGCAUGGGAUAACACGACAGGACUCUGGCCUAUCGCGUUGGUCUGUAGGACCAGAGUAAUGAUUAAGAGGGACAGUCGGGGGCAUUCGUAUUCCGUUGUCAGAGGUGAAAUUCUUGGAUUUACGGAAGACGAACAUCUGCGAAAGCAUUUGCCAAGGAUGUUUUCAUUGA